AUCGCUUCUCGGCCUUUUGGCUAAGAUCAAGUGUAGUAUCUGUUCUUAUCAGUUUAAUAUAAUUUAUAGUUCAAUACUAGGUGACUUCCCUGGACAUCUAGUCUUCCAUCUAACCAGAAAUAGAAAUCAUC
rnacentral:snRNA from 1 species